UUGGGGACAUCGGCACAGGGCAUCCGUGAGGGGCCAGAUCACGGACCUCCACGACCGAGUGAGGAAAUGUGAACUUUAUUCUCACACUGGGAGGAACGCUGCAAGUUUAACACGUAUGUGCUUUUCUGAUUAUAAAAGGAAUCUGUAUCCGUCGAUAGAAAAAUGGAAAAUACAGAAACGUUUAAAGAAGAAAAGCGCUCAGAGGAAUUUUCCAUGAUAAAAAGAAAAAAGGACAGGAGGCAAAACCCAUCGUUUGUGUCUGGCAUUCUCUUUAAAGGACAUUUUCACCCUCGUUAUUGCCCCUGAGGCUUCUAACAGCCCUGUGGGGAGACGGGGCGGGACGAGGAUGGAGGAAGAGGCUCAGAACGUGCCCAGGGCACUCGGCUGGUGUGCGGUGGCUCUAGGAGCCGGAUCCAGGAGUCCGCGGGCCUGGGGCAGACGGCAGGACGGUGUGGGGAGAAUCCAGGGAGGAGACGAUUUCAGGGGACACGGCUGCAGGUGGCGGGCGGCUGGGUCACUGGGUCUGGUAACAGCCAGUCUCGUCGACCCGGGAAAGCGAGGUCAGCCUGGGGAGGAGGAGGCAGCUGGACCGAGCGACCGCAAAGAGUCAAGGCCGAGGAGGUUGGGUGAGGACAAACGCACGGCCACCUCUGCCGCCACCGCGGCGGCGUUCUACCUUACCCCGCCUCCGCGGUCCGUUUUUCACCUCUGCCACAGUGGAUCCCUUUUUGGGCCGAUUGACAGCAUUCCUGAGUCCUCACCUUUGUUCGGCAGUCUCACCAGAAGCCCUGGUGACUCUGCAGGUUGGGGAGGCCAGUAAGUCACCCCGAGGAGAAACUAUGACUGCGGUGACAGGAGCUAUUCUCUCCGCCUGGGCUGCGUUCUCAGUGGAGAGAGGUGGGGCGAGGCCGGGGUCACCGCUGUGUCAUCCCCGUUCUCACGGGACGGGAUCAGGGCCCAGUUCCCAGCCAGUGCAGACCUGCCUUUCGCGCCCAGAGUUUGCUUUCUGGCCCGCAGCCACCCACGGAUGCUCUCGGUGGGGACGGGGAGGUUCAGGAGAGCAGGGAGAGCAGAGACAAAGCGUGAGUUACCGCAGUCGCUGCCGGGUGUGGCCCGAAUUCCCAGCACAGCACGUCACUCAGUCACUCACCGGGCCGUGGGCAGCACAAGGGGUCAUUGUGCGGUGGGCGGGUGCCGUGGUCACCAGGUCCUCUGAUGAACGGGGGGCGGGGAAAGGUGUUGGCUUCACGAUCCUUUAUAUAGGGGCGUGACUGCUGCGUUUGUAGGUUCUGUUUGCCUCUCUCUCUUCACGUACUCCCGUUCUUGUUUAUGUACCCUGCUUCUUGCUCUGUUUAUUUGAACAUUUUAAACGUCCUCGAGUUAAAAGUCCGUUGCAGAUGGCUCGCUCUCGUUCCUUGCGUGCGAAGCCCCUCGCCGUUUCGGGUGCUGCCUCAGCCCGGGGAUCCAGUACCAGGGAGCAGGGUGCGUUUGAGCCCGAUGCCUUCGGGAGGCACAGGGGCGGCUCUGGUCCCUCUCAGAUGACUUUUUCCUGUGACGUUGCCUCCCCGCCCCCAGCCCCGGGCUUUCCGACACGUUAGCUGAGAGCUGUCCGUGUUCUUCGCCGCGGCCCAGGGACACGUGGCCUCAGCUCUGGCAUCGUUACAGCUAUGGGUCACCUUUUUGCUUUUGGCAUCUGGAUAUUUCUUUCUGCCUUUUGAACUAAGGAUUUAGAUUUUUGGGGGGGACGUGGAGUGGGGGGCUCCCUUUCAUUCACAUUGUUCGCAGUAGGAAAGGGGGCUUGCUGUAUCUGCUCCAUCCUCAAUCUUGACAGAAGUCCCAGUAUCGUGGCCCAAAAUCUUCAUCAAAAACGAUGGAGCUUUCCUUGAUGUUUUUUUCCUUCUUUUUUCAGUAAAAAAUUUUACCUUGGAUUUGGCAAUGAUUUCUUGGGUACGGCACCAAAAGCACAGGCGAUAGAAGGAAAAAAUAGAUAGAUUGGACUUCAUCGAAAUUAAAAAAUGUCUUGCAUCGCACGGGAGGGCCGCCGCAUCCCCACUACGGAGCCCAGCGAGGUUUCCUGGAGGACGAACCGUGGCGGCCGAGAUGGAAGGGGACAGGUGUGGCAGAGCGCUCGGACCUGGCGGCGAGAAGCCCAGUGUGUCGUGUUGCGGGAGCCAAGCAAGCUCAGUGCUGCUGGAACUCGGGGGCCGUGGACGAUGACCGUCCUGUCUUGUGUGGAGAAGUGGAGGAGGCAGCUGUGACGCUCAGGGGCUGGAACCGGGUUGAGGAGGUGGCCGUGAGGCGUGACGAUCGCGCCGGGGCGGAUGAGAUUCGCAGGGAGAGCACGAGGCCUGGUCGCCGGCUGCGGCAGCGUCGGCUCCGAAGGACGGUAACUGUCUGAUGAGGUUCACCAGCCCCGCUUCUCGACCACGCUCUCCCGUGCCUGUCGCCUCCCCUGCUGCUGCCCCUACUCCCCGAUGAGUCUUCCUCCCUUGCCGCCCCCUCCCCAGCUGAGGGCACCCUCCCGGGCCCUCCUCCGGCCUCUCCCCAGACUCCUAUUGCAGAUGCCGAACUGGACCUCCUAAUGGCACCUCAGCCCCGACACGCACCCCCCACGGAGCUCAUCGCCUCCCCCGAAGCCAGUGUCUCCUCUUUCCGGCUCUGUCCAUCGCUCGCCUUGCCUGUUGGAGGCACCCGAGUGCUGCUGACGUGAACCCUGAAUCAAGCUUCGUCGUGGUUGGCUCUGUCUCGUCCAAACUUCAGGGAGCCACGUCGUUUCCGAGUUGGAUCCUUGAGCUGGGGCCACCGACUGCUUGAUGGAAUAGCGAACGGGCCAGUCGCCUUAGGACACCUGACGUUUCUCCGUCUCUCCCCGGCUCAGUGUUCUUAAGGAUAAUAACACUGCUUAAUCAUUUUUGUUUUGAUAAAGGAUGCACCGGUAAGGGGGUCAUUAACUGGCCCACCUCCACCUUAAGUCGCUAAUUAAUGAGUGAAGAGCUCUUCCAGAGGCAGCUCCAAUUCUACGUGAAAAGUGUGGGGACUCGCCAGCCGGGGGCCCUAGUGCCUUUCCUCUCCAAUUUCAGAGCCAAAUCCCGCCUCAAAACAAACAAAACGCGGCCUCGGAAACGAUCUGAUUCAUUCUAUUAAUUUACGAAGGAAGAAACUGUGACCCGGAGAGAUUUCUAAGAAGUGACAACCCGAGAUGGAGGAGGAGUCGGUUUCUCGGGAAAGGCUGCUUUUCGGCUGUGCUGCUCGGGGGCCAGUGUCAGCCCUCGAAGCCCUCUCUCGGGGCCCCCUCUUUCCUGCGGCGUCUUUAGCCCUGGGCAGCCGCGCCUCCUCCGAUGCUCUUGCCCUGUAGCUGCGUCCGCGGGCGUGGAAAGCUAAAACCGAUGUCGCUACUAGCCCACAGCCAGACAUACAGACCUGGCCACCGUGUGGCCUCGGGCAUCCCGCCCCUUCCCACCUCAGGACCUUCGGCCCGGCUGUUCCUUCUCUUGAAACGCCCUCCUCCACCCGCAAAUGUUCGCUCCCGCUUAUCCAUGAGAUCUCAGCAAACGCCAUCUCCUCCGAAGACUGGCCACCCCCGGCCCCCGUUGACCCGUGGCGUGCCACCUCGGGGUGUCCUUCGUAGGAUUUACCACACUCUCACCGUCUUUUGUGUGUUCGCUCCCUGUUUUUUU